rnacentral:rRNA from 1 species
GGUUUCGUAGGUGACCUGCGGAAGGAUCAUUGUCGAAACCUGUCCAUGAGAAACCGCGAACACGUGACACAACAAAAAUCGGGGAAGGAUCUCCUUAUCAAGGGGUCUUUGCCUCUGAUAUCGGGACGUGCCUCAUGAUGCGAUGCAGCCAUUUUUGAGCUAUCCUUGCACACGUAGGCAUGUCCUUGACCCAAACAGAAAACCCGGCGUGAACAACGCCAAGGAACAUGAAUCGUAGCGUGCCCACCUCCGGUGCGCCGGUGUGUGGGUAGGUGACGCCUUACACGAAAAAUGAACGACUCUCGACAACGGAUAUCUCGGCUCUCGCAUCGAUGAAGAACGUAGCGAAAUGCGAUACUUGGUGUGAAUUGCAGAAUCCCGUGAACCAUCGAGUCUUUGAACGCAAGUUGCGCCCGAAGCCACUAGGCUAAGGGCACGUCUGCCUGGGCGUCACGCACAACGUCACUCCCAACCUACAUACUCUGCCUCGUGCGAGGGAGGUGAUGGGGGCGGAUAGUGGCCUCCCGUCCGUCGACAUGGGCGGUUGGCCUAAAAAAGGAGAUCGCGGUGAAAUCUCAUCACGAUGGUUGGUGGUUGACACAAGGCUACGGCCAAGUUUACAUCGCAUCGCAUCGUGCUCAUGAGUCACUCGGAUGCUUGAACGACCCUAUUGAACCUUUAAAGAAAAGGGAUCAUACGCAGCGACCCCAGGUCAGGCGGGGCUACCCGCU